rnacentral:rRNA from 1 species
AGUGAACGCUGGCGGUAGGCCUAACACAUGCAAGUCGAACGGCAGCACAGUAAGAGCUUGCUCUUACGGGUGGCGAGUGGCGGACGGGUGAGGAAUACAUCGGAAUCUACUUUUUCGUGGGGGAUAACGUAGGGAAACUUACGCUAAUACCGCAUACGACCUACGGGUGAAAGCAGGGGAUCUUCGGACCUUGCGCGAUUGAAUGAGCCGAUGUCGGAUUAGCUAGUUGGCGGGGUAAAGGCCCACCAAGGCGACGAUCCGUAGCUGGUCUGAGAGGAUGAUCAGCCACACUGGAACUGAGCCACGGCCCAGACUCCUACGGGAGGCAGCAGUGGGGAAUAUUGGACAAUGGGCGCAAGCCUGAUCCAGCCAUACCGCGUGGGUGAAGAAGGCCUUCGGGUUGUAAAGCCCUUUUGUUGGGAAAGAAAAGCAGCAGGUUAAUACCCCGCUGUUCUGACGGUACCCAAAGAAUAAGCACCGGCUAACUUCGUG